rnacentral:rRNA from 1 species
UACGUAGGGUGCGAGCGUUGUCCGGAAUUAUUGGGCGUAAAGAGCUUGUAGGCGGUUUGUCGCGUCUGCUGUGAAAAUCCGGGGCUCAACCCCGGACUUGCAGUGGGUACGGGCAGGCUAGAGUGUGGUAGGGGAGACUGGAAUUCCUGGUGUAGCGGUGGAAUGCGCAGAUAUCAGGAGGAACACCGAUGGCGAAGGCAGCUCGCUGGGACGGUACUGACGCUGAGGCGCGAAAGCGUGGGGAGCGAACAGG